AGCGAACGCUGGCGGCAGGCCUAACACAUGCAAGUCGAACGGAUCCUUCGGGAUUAGUGGCGGACGGGUGAGUAACACGUGGGAACGUGCCCUUUGGUUCGGAACAACUCAGGGAAGCUUGAGCUAAUACCGGAUGUGCCCUUCGGGGGAAAGAUUUAUCACCAUUGGAGCGGCCCGCGUCUGAUUAGCUAGUUGGUGGGGUAAAGGCCCACCAAGGCGACGAUCAGUAGCUGGUCUGAGAGGAUGAUCAGCCACAUUAGGACUGAGACACGGCCCAAACUCCUACGGGAGGCAGCAGUGGGGAAUCUUGCGCAAUGGGCGAAAGCCUGACGCAGCCAUGCCGCGUGAAUGAUGAAGGUCUUAGGAUUGUAAAAUUCUUUCACCGGGGACGAUAAUGACGGUACCCGGAGAAGAAGCCCCGGCUAACUUCGUGCCAGCAGCCGCCGUAA
rnacentral:rRNA from 1 species